rnacentral:rRNA from 1 species
UGGGGAAUCUUGCACAAUGGGGGCAACCCUGAUGCAGCGACGCCGCGUGAGCGAUGAAGCCCUUCGGGGCGUAAAGCUCUUUCGACCGGAACGAUAAUGACGGUACCGGGAGAAGAAGCUGCGGCUAACUACGUGCCAGCAGCCGCGGUAAUACGUAGGCAGCAAGCGUUGUUCGGAGUUACUGGGCGUAAAGAGUGCGUAGGCGGUUUUCUAAGUUCGGUGUGAAAUCUCCCGGCUUAACUGGGAGGGUGCGCCGAAGACUGGGAAGCUGGAGUGUGGGAAAGGCAGGCGGAAUUCCUGGUGCAGCGGUGAAAUGCGUAGAUAUCAGGAGGAACACCGGCGGUGUAGACGGCUUGCUAGACCAUAACUGACGCUGAGGCACGAAAGCGUGGGUAGCAAACA